AACCCAUUUCGGCCCAGCCAGUUUUACAGCAACCAGCAAACAUGUCAAGUUUUAUGGAACCAGUUAAUUAAUAUAUAUCAACAUCCAAAAGAUGUUCCUCGACAUCAACUUCGACAGCCAUCUUUGUAUCAAUUAUAUGAGCGUUUAGGUCCAUUUUAAAAGCACAAAUUCAAACCCUAUCAUGUCUGUAUCUUUAAAUUGAAUGGGAGCUAUUUCAUCCAUGCCUCCUCAAUCAAUCUCAACCAACCACACAUCGCCUCCCCCAAGAUGCAUAGCCAACACUAUUAGUGACAAA
rnacentral:lncRNA from 1 species